ACGUUGGAGAGUUUGAUCCUGGCUCAGGAUGAACGCUGGCGGCGUGCCUAAUGCAUGCAAGUCGAGCGACG
rnacentral:rRNA from 1 species